AGAACUUUUAAAUUUAGGAAUUAAAUUUGUUUUUUUAGGAAAAUUGAAGAGAUAAAAUGUUGUUUAAAUUUCAAUAUGAACUUCAAAAGAUUAUUUUGGGAGGAUGGUUUUAUUUAAGCGUCUUAUACCCCUACGGAUACCAAAGUAAAGCCAGAGAAUAAAAUUGUGUAUAUGCUUGGUGCAUACAUAAAUAUCAUGGAUAUGUCUUUUGGUUGUUUUAACUUUCAAUAUCCUUUCCAUCUAUUGCUAUGUUCAUAUUUCAUGUUUUCACGAGAAAUAACGUAUUUUAAAAACUCUUAAUGACUCAUGAAAGUGACUUUAUUAAAAUGUACAAUGUAUUUAUGUAAACAUAACAUUUUUAUCGAGGUUGUGACUAGAUUGUUUUAAUUUAGAACCCCCGAUCCUACCAUCUGUUUUUAUGCCUAACUGACAAUUUUGAGAACUACAUUUGGUAUUUCUAUUGAUAAAAUUGUAUUGGUCUAAUUGAUUGUUUAUAUAUAUAUAUAUAUUGUAACGGCAAUAAGUCAGAUGAGAGAAAAUUCGACUCUAGUUACGUCCUAGCAGACAAAUACUUUCUCCUCAUUGGAUUCGUUAAUUUGUGUUUAAAAUCUAUAAUAUUGCAUGUUUUAACAUAUUGAGUAAUUCCGCCAUGUUGUCGGUCGGUCAGACCGGGAAGUGUGGCGCCCUUUUCGAUCAAAUCGAUCGGUCGAUGGUCUACGUCGAUCGAUGUGCUGCACACUCGUUAAAAGCUUUACCUAAUAAUAAAAAAUAAUAUAUUAUGUUAGCGUAGCACUAUCGGCGGACGAUAAAAAUAGACGACGUCUUAUUAUACAGAUAAUUCCCGUCUUCGCGUUUCGUAUCAAAUAUUAUUAUUUUAAAUUCGUACGUUCCGACUAUAUCUAUAUAAUACACUAUUGUAUACGUUUUACUAAUAGACGUUCGGCUAUAGUGUUGCGCCAGUAGCUGCAGCAGAAGUCGACGUCCGGCGCACGAAUAGUAAUAAUUAUAUACAAUUUACAUUUAGCGUAUUUAAUAUAUAGCAGAUGUUUCGGACAUGUACUCUUAACAGUCUUACAACGGCGUUUAUAUUAAUGACGUGAGCCGAACAGCCAUUCCACGGGUCCGUUAUAAAAGGUUCUAAAUUGAAUUUCCCGAACGGUUCUCGAGACAGGACCGUUU